rnacentral:rRNA from 1 species
AUCUGGGCGGCGGAAUUCAGGAUGGCGGGCGCGUCUUCGCGGCGCGUUCGUCGUUUGAUAUUUCCGUCGCCGACUCACCCGCAGACGUCGCGACCUGUUCGCGGUCGGUCCCUGCUCGGAGGAGCCACGUUCGAGUUCGUUGUGUGCGCGUUUCUGCGCGUUUCACGGCGAAGGCGUGGAUCUCUGGCUGGCCGUCGGACAGUACGUUCAACGGUGUCCGGUGCGGUCGUCUCGUACGCGCUUGCAUCGGUACCGGUCGGCGACGAAUUCUUCGGGCCUCUUUCCGACCCGUCUUGAAACACGGACCAAGGAGUCUAACAUGCGCGCGAGUCGCGGGGUGUCGAGCGUACCACGGUGCGUUCGUUACGUUGCGAAACCCGUACAUGUCGAAGGCGUAAUGAAAGUAAAUGGGGAAGAUGGUGUUCCGAGUACACGUUCCGCGGUCAUUGGUACCGCGGCCGGACACCCGCAUUCCCGGGGCGUCUCAACGGCCCGUCGUAGAUGCGGAUCGCCGUCUCUCGGGGCGGUGGGUCGAUCCGCGACGAACCGA